rnacentral:rRNA from 1 species
AACAGAGGGUGCAAACGUUGUUCGGAAUUACUGGGCGUAAAGCGCGUGUAGGCGGCUCGGAAAGUCGGGUGUGAAAGCCCUGGGCUUAACCCAGGAAGUGCACUCGAAACUUCCGAGCUGGAGUCCUGGAGAGGAAGGCGGAAUUCUCGGUGUAGAGGUGAAAUUCGUAGAUAUCGAGAGGAACACCGGUGGCGAAGGCGGCCUUCUGGACAGUGACUGACGCUGAGACGCGAAAGCGUGGGGAGCAAACAGG